rnacentral:rRNA from 1 species
AACGAACGCUGGCGGCAUGCCUAACACAUGCAAGUCGAACGAGACCUUCGGGUCUAGUUGCGCACGGGUGCGUAACGCGUGGGAACCUGCCCUUAGGUUCGGAAUAACUCCCCGAAAGGGGUGCUAAUACCAGAGAAUGUCUUCGGACCAAAGAUUUAUCGCCGUUGGAUGGGCGCGCGUUGGAUUAGCUAGUUGGUAGGGUAAAAGCCUACCAAGGCGACGAUCCAUAGCUGGUCUGGGAGGAUGAUCAGCCACACUGGGACUGAGACACGGCCCAGACUCCUACGGGAGGGAGCAGUGGGUAAUAUUAGACAAUGGGCGCAAGCGUGAUCAAGCAAUGCCGCGUGAGUGAUGAAGGCCUUAGGGUUGUAAAGUUCUUUUACCCGGGAUGAUAAUGACAGUACCGGGAGAAUAAGCACCGGCUAACUCCGUG